UUGUGAGGCAUCUCCGGGUGGGGCGCCGGCCUAAGUUCCUUGGAACAGGACGUCAUAGAGGGUGAGAAUCCCGUGCUUGGCUGGCUGUCCCCGUCCAUGUGAGGUGUCUUCGACGAGUCGAGUUGUUUGGGAAUGCAGCUCAAAAUGGGUGGUAAAUUUCAUCUAAAGCUAAAUAUUGGUGGGAGACCGAUAGCGCACAAGUAGAGUGAUCGAAAGAUGAAAAGCACUUUGAAAAUAGAGUUAAAAAGUACGUGAAAUUGUUGAAAGGGAAGCGCUUGAGACCAGACUUCGGUGGGGAGUGAUCAGCCGUCCUUCUGGGCGGUGCACUUGCCCCCCUCCGGGCCAGCAUCGGUUGGGACGGCGGGAUAAAGGUCCCGGGAAUGUGGCUCCUCUCGGGGAGUGUUAUAGCCCGGGUGAAUGCCGCCAGCCCCGACCGAGGACCGCGCCUUCGGGCUAGGAUGCUUGGCAUAAUGGUCUUCAGCGAC
rnacentral:rRNA from 1 species